UCCAUGCCGGUCUAUUGCCACUUGCUUCGCCCUUUCUUCCUCGAUUAUUGCUGCGUCGGGCCUUACCGAUGCCUUCGGUCCUGUCCGGGUUCACGCUCGACGGAGGCUCGACAAUUGGGUGGCAAGCUUGAACGCGGCUACCGUUAAACGCUGCAACGGAGCAUGCAGAAAAUACUCGCGUUCGCGUCAAUGCAUUCUUCGCAGCCGAUUCAUUAAACCGCCAUUCGUUCUCCGCGAACUAAUUCUAAGCGGCGCAUUAUCUCGCUACUUCGCGACGCAGAGUAACGAAGUAUUCAUCAAGAUUCUCCUCUAGCUCUAUCGUUAACUAUUUGUUUUACGUUCAAUAAGGGGCUCGGCGUAGAGCUGGGACGACGCGUGUAUGCACGGCCCAUGUUGCAUCGAUAUCCUAGCCGUACUUGACGGUGCGUCGAUGAUUUCGUUAAAGCAUCGUAGAGGCAAAACGAAGAGGCCGGUUUCGGACAGUUUUAUCAAAAUGCACACUUCGCGCAUGGUAAAUUGACUGCUGGCUGAUCGCUCCCUCCUGUCGUUCUACUUCUCCCCCGGAUCGCGAGAGCUAGACACCACCCCUCUCACUCAUCCCUCCACAGGCAUCCCCGUCGGUGUUCUCGAUCGCACCAGCUACCUCGUUGAACUGGCUGACGGAGCAGGUAGAAGCGAAGAGAUAAAAUUCAAUUGACGUGUCCAGAAUUGUGCCUCUCCAACAUCUCGCUUUCGCCCCGUACAUCCCGCCGCGAGCAACGGCCAACAAAUGAGGAAAACGGGUUAAGAAACGAGUUAGCCAUUUUUCAUUCACAAGCAAUGAAACCUUCGUGUGUCCCGAGUUUUCCACCGGCGCUCUAUUGGAAGAUCAAAAAAUGGCACGCGCUUCCACGAGCGGUAAGAGGUUCUUCAUUCCCGAUGUAUCCGGCCGCGAUUUCGGGCGUUCGGUAAUACGGCUCCGCGCUCGACGGGAUAAUAUUAUAAUUCGGUGGAAAUCGUCGGCGCCCGACCACGGCCCAGACGCAAACACAGUCGAAACCUCGUUUCGCGGAUUUUUCGCUGGUCGCGCCGAUAGUCGGACGCCAUAACGCCGCAACGUCAUCACGGUAAUAUGUACGCGGUAAACACUAACAAUCGGAGGGACACGCGGCCGCCGUGGUCGGAGAAAGAGAGAAACGAUCGGCCGGGCGAGAGGGCUGGCGGGGGGUUUGGCGGAUAGCGAAAGGGUGGAACGACGAGCGAAAGGGUUGGAAAGGGACGGCGCUGCCGCCGAUAGAACGUAAAUGAGAGCGGAGCGGGCGCUGGCAAGCAGGUAUUCUCGUUGACGAACCAAUUCAUUAUUAUCCGGGAUAAAUAAUGCGCUGUGUGCCUUGCGGUAGCAGGAAUUGUUCGAUUUCCUUGUCGAUGUGCUGCGCGCAUAAACUGCCGGCCGGGGACGGCGCACACGCGUACGCGCGCGACCCACCAACGUGCCGAUAUCGGCGCGGCGCACACUUUAAAUAGAUCGCACGUGUAAUUAUUAGCGCGGCGAACGCUCCGACUCAGCGCACUUCCAAAAAAUGUAAAACCCUGCCAGAUACACGGAUAGGGGUUGCGUUCGACGGUGGG